AGUUAAAAUCUUUUUCUCCUAGGUCAAUGGUCUCAUAGACUUCAUUCUGGAUCAGAUUUACAUCAAUAAAUUGGUCUCUUUUAUUUUCAAGACUAAAAAUAUUAAGAUCAAUAGUCAUGUUUUUAAAUGAGAGUUUCAUGAGUCCAUUGCGACAAUUGAUUAGGGCAUUGGUGGUUGCUAAGAAUGGUCUUCCUAAGAUUAUUGGGAUGUGACCUUUUGGAUUAAUCACUGAUUCAAUCUCGAGGAUCACAAAAUCCACAGGAUAAAUAAAAUUACUGACCUUGAUUAGCACAUCUUCCACAACUCCUUUAGGAACCCUCAC
rnacentral:lncRNA from 1 species